rnacentral:rRNA from 1 species
UACAGAGGUCUCAAGCGUUGUUCGGAUUCAUUGGGCGUAAAGGGAGCGUAGGUGGCGGGGUUAGUCAGGUGUGAAAUCUCGGGGCUCAACCCCGAAACUGCACUUGAUACUGCCUUGCUAGAGUACUGGAGAGGAGAUUGGAAUUUACGGUGUAGCAGUGAAAUGCGUAGAUAUCGUAAGGAAGACCAGUGGCGAAGGCGAAUCUCUGGACAGUUACUGACACUGAGGCGCGAAGGCCAGGGGAGCAAACGGG